rnacentral:lncRNA from 1 species
UAUAUAUAUAUGUCCCUGCAGUACAGUGGUUGUCGUUGAUUCAUGUCUGUCAUAUGUCAUAUUUGUUUUUCUUAAAUUGCUAUUUUAUAAAUUAGACCGUUAGUUUUCCUCAAUUAAAUUGUUCAAUAUUAUUCCUGCCUUUAAUAGCCGACCGUAUGGGUUUUUUCAUUGUUGAAGGCCGCAUGGUUAGUGAGUAUUUUGACCAUAUAAGUAUUGUUCGGUAAAGAUUUCUCCACAGGAACAUGCACACAGUUGAUUCUCUGCACCAGAAUCUACUUAAGGAGGUUCGCUGCUCAGUUUCAAAAUAACAAGGAUUUCAAAUGACUGUUAUAAAUAGAUGGAGCCUGAAUAUAAACAAUAAACUAACCGAAAUCUCUGAGCUUUUACACAUUGUCUGAAUCUUGGUGCAUCUCUUAUCUUGCUUUCGCACAAGAAAAAUAAACAAUCAUAUCUUUUUGUUUCAAGUAAUUGAAUGUGAUUUCCUCAAAUGUAUUAGCUGAGGGUGGUAGUACCUUGCCUGUCUCUUUUUAAUGUAUUCAC